rnacentral:misc_RNA from 1 species
GUGAAUCAUCGAAUCUUUGAACGCACCUUGCGCUCCUUGGUAUCCAUCCCGAGGAGCAUGCCUGUUUGAGUGUCGUGAAAUUCUCAAUCUCGUUAAAUUUUUGAUGAGUUUGGAUUCUGGAGGCUUUGCUGGCGAAAGUUGGCUCCUCUGAAAUGCAUUAGUGAAACCUUUCCAAACGGAAAACGGGCUUUGGUUUGAUAAUUGCUUUUGUCUAUGCCAUUGCCGUCGCCGUGAUGAUUUCGCUUACAACUGUCCUUUGGACAAAUCUUGACCUCAUUUGACCUCAAAUCAGGUAGGACUACCCGCUGAACUUAAGCAUAUCAAUAAGCGGAGGA